rnacentral:rRNA from 1 species
CCUACGGGUGGCAGCAGUGAGGAAUAUUGGUCAAUGGGCGUAAGCCUGAACCAGCCAAGUCGCGUGCGGGAUGACGGUUCUAUGGAUCGUAAACCUCUUUUAUACGGGAAUAACGCGCGGGACGUGUCGCGCUUUGCAUGUACCUUAUGAAUAAGGACCGGCUAAUUCCGUGCCAGCAGCCGCGGUAAUACGGAGGGUCCGGGCGUUAUCCGGAUUUAUUGGGUUUAAAGGGUGCGUAGGCGGCCUUUUAAGUCAGCGGUGAAAGUUUGGGGCUCAACCAUGGCAUUGCCGUUGAAACUGGCGGGCUUGAGUAUGUGUAAGGCAGGCGGAAUGCGUGGUGUAGCGGUGAAAUGCUUAGAUAUCACGCAGAACCCCGAUUGCGAAGGCAGCUUGCCAAGCCAUGACUGACGCCGAUGCACGAAAGCGUGGGGAUCGAACAGGAUUAGAUACCCUAGUAGUC